rnacentral:rRNA from 1 species
UGCAGUCGAGCGGUUGAAGGAAGCUUGCUUCCUGAUUCAGCGGCGGACGGGUGAGUAAUGCCUAGGAAUCUGCCUGGUAGUGGGGGACAACGUUUCGAAAGGAACGCUAAUACCGCAUACGUCCUACGGGAGAAAGCAGGGGACCUUCGGGCCUUGCGCUAUCAGAUGAGCCUAGGUCGGAUUGGCUAGUUGGUGAGGUAAUGGCUCACCAAGGCGACGAUCCGUAACAGGUCUGAGAGGAUGAUCAGUCACACUGGAACUGAGACACGGUCCAGACUCCUACGGGAGGCAGCAGUGGGGAAUAUUGGACAAUGGGCGAAAGCCUGAUCCAGCCAUGCCGCGUGUGUGAAGAAGGUCUUCGGAUUGUAAAGCACUUUAAGUUGGGAGGAAGGGCAGUCAGCGAAUACCUUGCUGUCUUGACGUUACCGACAGAAUAAGCACCGGCUAACUCUGUGCCAG